ensembl:lncRNA
AGGGAGGGGAGAAAGAAAACUCCCUUCCUGAAGUGUAUUGUAAAUUUGGGGGCCAAGAUUUAAGACUGCAUCCCCAGGCUAACUUCAAAUCUGGCCAAACACGAUGCUUCCUUCCAUGGGAAAGUUUCAACUAGCCGGAGAAAGAAGUUCUUACUUUAGAAACUCAAAUGCACUGAUUAAAAGUGAGUGCCACAAACACACACUCCAAUAUCAUCAACAGCGAGUCAGAACCCACACCCGAGUUAACAGGAAACUUGGUGGAGGAGAGUGAGAGUCGCCACUGAAACAAAAGCCUGGGCUCUGAAUGCCAUCCCAGCAGGCAGCGCUCGCCUUUUCAAUGAGACUCCCACUUUGAUGUGUGUUUUUUAACUGCAACUUUCAUGUGGUGACGGAAGAAGCUCAGAGCAAGAAGUCACAGAAGCUGGUGCCUUGGGAAACUACACAGAGCCCACGUUCCAUGGAAAGGCAAGGAUUCAGAAGGUGGUGGCCAAAUGAGGUCCCUCAGCUGGCAAGAGGGAAGCUUUGACAGAGCAACACGCCUCUCACAUCCUCAGGGCACAUGAAAGUUGAACUGGAUGGAGUAGGGG